rnacentral:lncRNA from 1 species
GAAGUUCGCGGCAGAGAUAAGAGAUCCAAAAAAGAAUGGUGCUAGGGUUUGGCUUGGUACUUAUGUGACUGAGGAGGAAGCAGCUUUGGCUUACGACAAAGCUGCUUUUAAGAUGCGUGGCCGAAAGGCCAAGCUUAAUUUUCCCCACCUCAUUGGCUCUGAUGUGUUUACACCAGAGCCAGAGAAGGAGGUGGUUUUGAAACGGGAAUCACCGGAGCCUUCUUCAUCGGAGGAAAGUUGUGAGUCAUCGUCACCAAGGUUAAAGAGGAGGAGGGGCACGGUUGACCUACUUAACAAACUAGCCAAGAAUAGAUGCCAAGCUAAGGUGGUUGAAAUUGAAACGGCAUCAUCACAUGCUAAUGAUUUUGAGCAAUGGGUGAAUGAGUUGAGUGAUAGCUCUCUAAUUUGGUUCUCUUAGCUAGGGUUGUAUCAUUUUAAUUUUUCUGUUUCGCAGCUCCUAAGUUAAAUAGUUUUUCUGUGAGUGUAGCUGCUCCUACUUAGUUUGAGAUCAUUUUUUUCAUUACUCUGAUGAACUUCGAUGGGUGAUGUUUAAGCAAAGCUACGACUUUAUUGUAUUUUUUUUUUCCAACAGAGCACUCAUUUCUUUGGAUUUAUUGUUAAAUUGAUGAAAACUAUGUCUAAGUUUGCACAAUUUAAACUUAUUUUACAUUUGUUUGUUACCAAGAUAUUUGUUUUGAAAAUGUAACCCCAAAAUAUAAAUAAUAGCCUUUAUUCACAAGGAAUGGUCCUUCUAAUAUUGACUUCGAGAAAGCGUCAAAAGGCAAACCCCCACAAUUUUGAGUAAAAUAGUGAAUUUGGUAAAUAAAUAGAAGGGGAGUGCCUUGUCUUUUUUACGAAUGGCUAAUUGUUCUAAUGUAUUGUAUCCAUAUAGGUAGCUUUGGUUUUUGUUUUGAGGCUUCUAGAUUACUCAUUGUAGUUAGUUUGGUCUUUGUACUCAGUUUUCAGCUUCUUCCUAAUAAAAUAGUUUCAUUUGAUAUUAAAAAAGAAGAAGGGGAGUAGAUAUGCUAUUUUUUUAAGGUUCACCUUUGAACCAUUUUGAGGUCGAUCGUGUAGCAAGUGUGAGUUAGAAGUCCCGCUUAUAUAUAGCUUUAGUCUUCCACUUUCUUUGUAAUUAUAAACAAUGCGAGACAUUUUCAAUAUGUAUAUUUUCAACCAACACUAUCAAUCUUUAUUAAUUUUCAUUGCAUCUCACAACAUUCUAAGACAAGAUUAUAAGAAAAAAUAAUAUGUCAUAUACAAACUUAAAGUAUUUCUAAGUAAUGUAUCUUGUACGAAGACUUAGAGCUCCUGUAUCUAGCCUUGUUAUCCCUCUUCCUUAUAAUUCUAAGGAACUAAGACUUUUUCAACAUGUAUAUAUUUUCAACUAACAACAAUUUUUGAAUUUCAAGCGUGAGUGAUCAAGUCCUACAUCACCUUAAGGGUAUAGAUGAAGAUGCGGCGUCUCCAUCUCUUGUAGUCUUGGAGCAUUGACUUGACCCCAAACUCUCCAACAAGUGAUAUUAGAGCCCAUAUUCGGCUUAGUGGGGAAUGAGAGUUGGAUCCGUCGUUGGAUCCUAUUAUAGAAGUGGGAACUCACACUUGAGGGGAAGAUUGUUGGAUUUCAAGUGUUAGUUGUUAAGUCUCACAUCUCUUCUCAAUGGAUGAAAGGUUGGAUAUGUAAGAGAGGUAGUUCAUAUAUCUAAUGUCUUAAGGAUUUAGGGGGAUAUGUGUCGUCUUCCUUUUUUGUGGUCUUCAAGCAUUGAACCGUUGUUACUCCCAUGAUCUUGUACACUCUUCAACAAAGAAGGUAUUCCACUUAGUUUGGCUCACAACAUUUUCGUGCAUUUGUUUGGAGAUCAAUAGUAAAAUCAAAUUAAACAAUGAGUUAGCGGUAAUGUGUUUUCAAGUGCAAUCCAAAUGCGACAACAUAGCAUAUGAAGUCUACCCACCUUCUAAAGGUUGCAGAGCUUUCACCAAAUCACGUGUGCCACUAUCAGACACAAUAAUCUUAAUUUUAAAUCGAUCAGUUUGGUGGAUAGAGGGGAUUUAAUUAAACUUUUUUCAUUGGAAGAGGUAAAGCAAGCAAUGUACGACUGUGACAAUUUCAAGAGUUCAGGACCGGAUGAGAUAAAUUUGCUUUGAAGGUUAUUUGGCUCUCUAUGGUGUGGGUGAUUUGAAAAGAAAGAUACACACGUUUAUUUUCAAAACAAGGAGGAUCAAUUACAAAGUUUAUAUUAAAAGAAUAAGAUUCAAACUUUUUGGUGGUUAAAAUCGACAUAUGUUACAUUCAAUUUCGAUUACCAUUAUUGGAGACUUAAUCAUCUUCAUUGCUUGUUUGUUUGUUACCUAGCAUGUUUCCCUCUUUGUUUUUGCUUUGUUCUUUUUAGACCUGGUUUUCUAACUUUGUAACUUUCUCGAAGACUUCUCUAACACAUCUUGUGCUAGAAAUAUUUUUUUUGCUUUGGUUAAUAUAUUUUAUUUUGACAUAUUAAAAAAAAUAAAAAUAAAUAAUUUGUUAUUGUUAUUGUUAUUGGUGCUCAGUAAUGUAAUCACUUUUAAAGUGACGCUACAUUUAAUACUAAAUGUUAAUUUGAUAAAGUUUCAUGAUUAAAAGAUAUAUUUUUUUAGGGAUGAUUAGAAGAUAUUAUUAUCCGUAUACAACAAUGCAUUUAAUAAUGCAUUUACUAAUGGUGCAUUAUACGUUAUCAUUGCCAAAAUAAAAUACUAACGUUAUCAUUGCCAAAAUAAAAUACUCCUAUUGGGUUUAUCCAUAAAGCUGAUAUUAUUUUUUGUUCCUAGCAUUUUUUUUCCUUCAAGAUAAUCCUAUUUGAGGUGUAUGAGACACUAAUUAUCUAUUUAAAUCAAAGUUUGAAUUUUUACUAACUCCAAAUGUUUAGUUUAGUGGUAAAAAGACAUCUUUUAAAUUUAAAUAGAGGGAGAUAAAAAAAUACGUCCGAACUAACAAUCUCUCGACCCUAAAUUUUUAUUAGCAAAUAAAAAAAUAUUUGAAUUUUAAUUCACUACACGUGUAGGAGUCUAAUUCAUUCGUGUUUUUGAAUUCUGUUUAUUCAUAAAACCAAUAAUUUUUUUAAGGAAUAUAAAAGGGCCUAGGCCAUAAAAAAAGACAAUAACAAAUGAAUUAAAAGAAAAACAUAAAUUCCCCUAAUAUCAACUAGAACCAAAUGUUUAAUGUUCUCGUAAAUUUUACUCGGUUGAUAUAGACAAUACAUAAUAUAUGUAGGGUCUGGAGUUCAAACCCCGACCACCACAACAAAAAAAUCAAAUGUCAAAGUUGAACCGAAGCGAAAAUACUCAUUUAUUGUCAACCCAUCACUAGAGUCGCACCCAUAUUAGUUUAAGAAUCUAAACAAUCGCUAUAAAACAAGUUACAAUGUCCAUGCGUGAUAACCAAAAGCAAUAAACUAAUUAUAUUCAACAAAGGGAGAAGAGAUUAAAAAAUAUAUAAAAAAAUAAGGGUUUUGUUAUACAUUUAUUGAACAACUGAAAGUGAUGACCAUUGGCACAACUCAAAAAUUCAUGAAGUUUCACAGAAAUGACCUUAAGGGAAUAUAUAGAUUAAAUAAUGAAAUACCACACGCGGUUUCAAUGUUAGUUUUUGAAUAAACAAUUUCAUAAACAAGAAUUGUUGCAAUAUAUAAAUAAAGUUAGUAUAGCACCAUAUCCACAAGUCUCAUUGCUUCCACAAACGGUAGACUUUAGAUCCAAAAUACCACUACUCUUUCCUCCAAAACAUGGCUUCAACCACCAAAGACUCAGAUUUGGAAUAUUUGGAACACAUUCAACAAUACCUUCUUUUUGAUGAUUCUAGCAUGCUGAAAUCUCAUCAACCUUUUCCAAGCCCUAAAAGUGACAAUGAUUUAGACACAACUGUAGAGGCGCGUGAAGUAAGCAUGCCUCCUGUAUGGAAGCGGUACAAGGGAGUGAGGCGUAGGCCAUGGGGGAAGUUCGCAGCUGAGAUAAGAGAUCCAAAAAAGAAUGGUGCUAGAGUUUGGCUUGGAACGUAUGUGACUGAGGAGGAAGCAGCUUUGGCUUACGACAAAGCUGCUUUUAAGAUGCGAGGCCGAAAGGCCAAGCUUAAUUUUCCCCACCUCAUUGGCUCUGAUGUGUCUACAUCUGAGCCAGAGAGGGAGGUGGUUUUGAAAAGGGAAUCACCCGAGCCUUCUUCUUCUUCAUCGGAGGGAAGUUGUGAGUCAGUGUCACCAGGGUUGAAGAGGAGGAGGGGCAUGGUUGACCUACUUAACAAAUUAGCCAAGAAUAGAAGCCAAGUAGCCACGGUGGUUGGCGUUGAAAAGGCCUCACAAGCAAAUGAUUUUGAGCAGUGGGUGAAUGAGUUGAAUGAUUGCACUCUAAUCUAGAGCUCAUAGUGUAGUUGCAUUUAUUU